AAAUAAUCUUGCCCAUUAAAUACUCAUGAUUCUUAGUUUUUUUUUUUCCGAAUAAUUAAAUUGAACCCAUCUAUGUGGUAAUUUGAUCAAUAUAAUUAGGCUAAUUACUGAAAGCAUUAAAUUUUAGCGUUCUCUUAAACACAAAAUUUCAUCUUUUUCGUAUUAAUAGAUUGUGAAAUUCAUAAUUUUAUAUAAAAAAAAGUAUAUGAUUUACGAGUACAUAAUUAUUUCUCAAUUCAUUAAACACAAAAAAUCUAUUAAAACUUUGAAGGGAAGAUUGAUAUGUGAGCCUCAACUCAAGACUGAAACUAACAGUCUUCCAUUACAGUAUCUGAUUGGUAGAUGGUUGACUUGUUGUCCAAUUGCAAAGUAGGUUGGUUGACCAUUUAUUAUUUCCAUUUUAAUUUUAUGUACUUUUUGCUUAAAUAAUACGUGUACAUAUACAAGUACACUUACCCGUAUUCCCCCUUAACUAUUCAAGGAACUAGUACUCCAACCAUAAAAAUCAGAAUUAUAUUAAAAAAAUUUAUAGAAAUAUUAAUAAAUCACUGAAUAUAUUUGGAUAAUUAAUUGAAUUCUAGAAAAAAUAAUGAAUAUAUUUUCUUUCCAUAAUAUCCUAUAUUUUGUUAAAAGACU
rnacentral:misc_RNA from 1 species